rnacentral:RNase_P_RNA from 1 species
GAAGUGAGCUGGAUGGUCGCUGCUGUGGAGGUCUUCGUGACUGAAGCAGGGGAGGAAAGUCCGGGCUUCAUAGGGCAGGGUGCCAGGUAACGCCUGGGCGGUGAAAGCCGACGGAAAGUGCAGCAGANNNNGUGCGGUAAGAGCGCACCGCGUGUCUGGUAACAGUUCACGGCAUGGUAAACCCCACCAGAAGCAAGACCAAAUAGGAAUCCUGAGGUACGGCCCGUACUGGAUUCGGGUAGGUCGCUUGAGCGUAUGAGUGAUUGUACGCCUAGAGGAAUGACCAUCCUCGACAGAACCCGGCUUAUAGGCUCACUUCACCU